rnacentral:tRNA from 1 species
AGGCUGGUAGCUUAAUAGGUAAAGCAUGUCGCUCAUAACGUCAAAGAAGUAGGUUCAAGCCCGUCUCAGCCUA